UCUCUUUCAUCAUUAAAUAGGUUGUACAGUUGAUGGAGGCUAUGUUACAUCAAUGUUUGAUCAAGGUCUCCAGGCUAUACUGGUUCAAAGCUUUGUUACAUCGAUGUGGAAAAAAUAUUUGAGAAAUUGUUGGUGCUUUGAUCUUUAAGAGUAACCAAUCACACUAUUAUAGCUAGAAGUCCGCAGGUAGCUUCAUAUACACCAUGCCAUCCGUGUCAGCUUGCUAGGUUGGUAUGUUGUGGAUGUUUGUUCACCCUAUGAUGGUGAAGAGGGUGAAGCAAAAAGGCUAGACAUGUGGUUCAAGAGUGGGGGGGGGA
rnacentral:lncRNA from 1 species